CGGGUUGUAAAGCACUUUCAGUAGGGAGGAAGGUAGUCGUAGUUAACACCUGUCCACUAUUUGAACGUUACCUACAGAAGAAGCACCGGCUAACUCCGUGCCAGCAGCCGCGGUAAUACGGAGGGUGCGAGCGUUAAUCGGAAUUACUGGGCGUAAAGCGCAUGCAGGCCGGCCUGUUAAGUCAGAUGUGAAAGCCCCGGGGCUUAACCUCGGAAUUGUCAUUUUGAAACUGGCAGGCUAGAGUCUUGUAGAGGGGGUAGAAUUUCAGGUGUAGCGGUGAAAAUGCGUAGAGAUCUGAAGGAAUACCCAGUGGCGAAGGCCGGCCCCCCUGGACAAAGACUGACGCUCAGAUGCGAAAGCGUGGGGAGCCAAAACAGGAUUAGACUACCCCUGGGUAG
rnacentral:rRNA from 1 species